UCCUCCCUCUGUCGGCAUGCCUAACACAUGCAAGUCGAACGAGACCUUCGGGUCUAGUGGCGCACGGGUGCGUAACGCGUGGGAACCUGCCCUUAGGUUCGGAAUAACUCCCCGAAAGGGGUGCUAAUACCGGAUAAUGUCUUCGGACCAAAGAUUUAUCGCCUUUGGAUGGGCCCGCGUUGGAUUAGCUAGUUGGUAGGGUAAAAGCCUACCAAGGCGACGAUCCAUAGCUGGUCUGAGAGGAUGAUCAGCCACACUGGGACUGAGACACGGCCCAGACUCCUACGGGAGGCAGCAGUGGGGAAUAUGGGACAAUGGGCGAAAGCCUGAUCCAGCAAGGCCGCGGGAGUGAUGAAGGCCUUAGGGUUGUAAAGCUCUUUUACCCGGGAUGAUAAUGACAGUACCGGGAGAAUAAGCUCCGGCUAACUCCGU
rnacentral:rRNA from 1 species